GGCAGCAGAGUUCCGGAGGGCUCCCAGGACCUUCAACCAGAAAGAGACACAGCCCUGCAAGGAAUGUACUAUAGAGCCAAUUUUACCGGCAAAGGAAUGGAAGAUCUGAAAGGCUAGGCGAUCCCACAAGCAGCGAGGAGCAGGCUGGAAUUUGAACCAAUCGGCAUGAUUCCCAAGCUCAAGUUUUGGCCACCCCUGCACUGCCAGGGACAAAAAAAAAAAAAAAAAAAAAAAGAAACCUGGGAGGAGAGCCAAGCUAGGGAGUCAAGACCCUCCAGCCAGGUCUGGAUGGGAGGCAGGUGCCUCCACCCUAGUCCCAGAGCAAGUUCUGCUGGCUUCAGCCACCUGACUUCCCUGUGAAGUUGGGCAGAGGCCAGAGCAGACUGUGUGUGAUUCUGGCCCCAGCCCCAGCACCUCUACCCCCACCUUUACUACCCCUAGGCUGCGGGAAGAGGCUUUGCCCAGCAAUAGUCCUGAUCUAAUGGAUCCUGUGAAGCACAAUAAACAGAUAGUAUUUCUGCAUAUGUCACUCUGAGUAUGACGGCAGUAAUCUUGAAACUCCCCUUGACCACCUGGCACUCUGGAGACGGAACUCCACAGCCUGUUUUCAAAGCCAACUCCUGGCUGGAAGUUCCUCUUCAAGUCUAAAUGAAGUAAGCAGUGCUGCAGUCUUCCCUCAACUGUGCAG
rnacentral:lncRNA from 1 species